CGCCGCCAUUACUUUCCACGUGCAUUUGUCGGAUGUCGUUCAUUUCAUUUUAAAAACUCAAGAUGUGAGAAAUAACGCAGAUUUAAUGGAUAACUUGAAUUUGAAGCGUACAUUGUGCGCGUGAGACACCUCGGGACACAUGUGCGGCCGAUGAGACACCUCGGGACACGAGGCUGUUGAGACACCUCGGGACACAUGUGAGGCGCUGAGACACCUUGGGACAAAUGUGAAGCCGCGUGCGACCUCUUGGGGACACUUUCCACAUUGAAGGUCUUGAAAGCCUUGUUGAGGUUAGGUCUUCCUACUUAUCGAUGGAUGCGGCCAAGCACGUGUAUAUAGCGAAGCAAGAAUGACUGACUUGUGCAUUUGCUGAUUGAAAGGAGAUUUUUCAAGCCGGACAACCUAUUAGAAAAAUAAAUCAUAUAAAUAAAAA